rnacentral:rRNA from 1 species
AACGAACGCUGGCGGCAUGCCUAACACAUGCAAGUCGAACGAGACCUUCGGGUCUAGUGGCGCACGGGUGCGUAACGCGUGGGAACCUGCCCUUAGGUUCGGAAUAACUCCCCGAAAGGGGUGCUAAUACCGGAUAAUGUCUUCGGACCAAAGAUUUAUCGCCUUUGGAUGGGCCCGCGUUGGAUUAGCUAGUUGGUAGGGUAAAAGCCUACCAAGGCGACGAUCCAUAGCUGGUCUGAGAGGAUGAUCAGCCACACUGGGACUGAGACACGGCCCAGACUCCUACGGGAGGCAGCAGUGGGGAAUAUUGGACAAUGGGCGAAAGCCUGAUCCAGCAAUGCCGCGUGAGUGAUGAAGGCCUUAGGGCUUUAAAGCUCUUUUACCCGGGAUGAUAAUGACAGUACCGGGAGAAUAAGCUCCGGCUAACUCCGUG